GUGAAUCAUCGAAUCUUUGAACGCAAAUUGCGCUUCCUGGUAUCCCGGGAAGUAUGCCUGUUUGAGGGUCAGUAUUAACAAAAAAUCGGUUUGGUUGCAAAUUGUGACGUUUCCGGAGUUUGGGCUUAUCUUAACUUUUUUGUUUAAGGGGCUUAAAAUUGACCUUUUUUGCGCUUUUUUAGACGUACAUAAAUUUUUUUUUUAGUCUGUUAUUAUUGAUGACAAAAUCUUAGUUGAGGUCAUA
rnacentral:misc_RNA from 1 species